AUUGAACGCUGGCGGCAGGCCUAACACAUGCAAGUCGAACGGUAACAGGAAACAGCUUGCUGUUUCGCUGACGAGUGGCGGACGGGUGAGUAAUGUCUGGGAAACUGCUUGAUGGAGGGGGAUAACUACUGGAAACGGUAGCUAAUACCGCAUAACGUCGCAAGACCAAAGAGGGGGACCUUCGGGCCUCUUGCCAUCGGAUGUGCCCAGAUGGGAUUAGCUAGUAGGUGGGGUAACGGCUCACCUAGGCGACGAUCCCUAGCUGGUCUGAGAGGAUGACCAGCCACACUGGAACUGAGACACGGUCCAGACUCCUACGGGAGGCAGCAGUGGGGAAUAUUGCACAAUGGGCGCAAGCCUGAUGCAGCCAUGCCGCGUGUAUGAAGAAGGCCUUCGGGUUGUAAAGUACUUUCAGCGGGGAUGAAGGGAGUAAAGUUAAUACCUUUGCUCAUUGACGUUACCCGCAGAAGAAGCACCGGCUAACUCCGUGCCAGCAGCCGCGGUAAUACGGAGGGUGCAAGCGUUAAUCGGAAUUACUGGGCGUAAAGCGCACGCAGGCGGUUUGUUAAGUCAGAUGUGAAAUCCCCGGGCUCAACCUGGGAACUGCAUCUGAUACUGGCAAGCUUGAGUCUCGUAGAGGGGGGUAGAAUUCCAGGUGUAGCGGUGAAAUGCGUAGAGAUCUGGAGGAAUACCGGUGGCGAAGGCGGCCCCCUGGACGAAGACUGACGCUCAGGUGCGAAAGCGUGGGGAGCAAACAGG
rnacentral:rRNA from 1 species